ensembl:lncRNA
GUGUAUGGGAACUGUAUAAUCAUGGCCUGAACCUCUGUUUGACCACCUGAGGCGAGUGCUGAGUCAGCUGCAGGGGCACAGGUGAUGGUAGUUUCAGCUGAGUGACCGGAAGGGGUGGACCCUGGCUGCAGCCCUGCUAGACCCCAUGUAAGGGCUGACUCCCAAGGAGGAAGGAUCUCUGUCUGGAGUUCCCCCUUGCUGGAGCCCUUCUGCGCGCCCAGGAUACGGGCCAAGCCCCAGGGGCUGCUAGGGCAAUGUCCUCACUUGGAGGGGGCGGCUGGGUUUCCCAUCUGAGGGCUUCAUGCACAAAGAGCAAGGAAAACUCAGACACAGAGCAAGCCUAAGCAAAAGCACGACUUUUCGGAGAUGCUGUCUCAAGCUCCCUGUGCUCACCCUGAGCUCUUUUUUCCUACGAGGUAACUCCCCUGCUUUUUUCCAUCUCUUAUUACAACAAGAGAGAUUUC